AGAUUGAACGCUGGCGGCAGGCCUAACACAUGCAAGUCGAGCGGCAGCGGGAAGUAGUUUACUACUUUGCCGGCGAGCGGCGGACGGGUGAGUAAUGUCUGGGAAACUGCCUGAUGGAGGGGGAUAACUACUGGAAACGGUAGCUAAUACCGCAUAACGUCUUCGGACCAAAGUGGGGGACCUUCGGGCCUCACGCCAUCGGAUGUGCCCAGAUGGGAUUAGCUAGUAGGUGGGGUAAUGGCUCACCUAGGCGACGAUCCCUAGCUGGUCUGAGAGGAUGACCAGCCACACUGGAACUGAGACACGGUCCAGACUCCUACGGGAGGCAGCAGUGGGGAAUAUUGCACAAUGGGCGCAAGCCUGAUGCAGCCAUGCCGCGUGUGUGAAGAAGGCCUUCGGGUUGUAAGCACUUUCAGC
rnacentral:rRNA from 1 species